AUAGAUGAGGAGCCAUCAGAAGAGUCCAGCUAACACAGCUUAGGUCUAUUUCAUCAUCCCACCAAACAAGAAGAUAGCCUGCUUCGUGCUUGACAGAUCAAGGAAGGAGGAGGUGGAGGAGAUGACAGAACAAGAUCUACUGAAAAGACAUCCGUGACCUGGUGGCAGGUGCCCAAGCCAUGUGCUCCCAAUACCCACAACUGGAGUCUUUUUGCUGAAGAGACCUAUGACGAACACAACAAAAUCAUAGGAAUCCAGGACUCCCCACUUGAAGGAUACUGAACUAGGAUGGAAAUUACCUCUACACCCCGAUUGCAUCUCCACUAUUCCCGGCCCAUUCCUCUGCUUUCCUUUUUGCAACACAGAGGUGAUAGCCUACCAUGGAAGGGAAGCCAUGACAGAAUUGACACUGCAGUGGGGAGUCCAGGCUGCUGGAACCUGAGAAUCGAAAUCCCACAAGCCUAUGUUCAGCUACCUUCUUCUGCCACCAAUUUCUCAUCUUCAAAAGGCUCCAUAAACGCCCAAAACAGUUCAAAGCAACUAAGGAUCAACUGAUGAAACAUUUGUCCUUAUGGUGGAUAUCCCAUGACAAAAAAAUUUAUAUUAACAAGACAACAGUUUUACAAGUUGGUGUUUGUGACACUGUUGGGUUUUGACUUUAAAGUAGGGUGUUACUAUAGCCCAGACUGGUCUUGAAUACACAGUGUAGCCCAGCAUAGGCUGACCUGGAAGUCAUGGAAGUCCUCCUGCCACCUCUUUUCAAUUGUUGGAACUGUAUGUGUAAAUGUUGAAAUUAUAAGCACUAUGCUUGGCUUAAGACAACCUUCAUUAUCUCACAUUCCCUUCCCUGAUUCUGUCAUAACUUGUAUUGCCACACUCCACCCCAAAAGACCCAUCUCCUUACCUGUUCCCAGAUCUAAAUGCUGGACGAGCAGCAAUGAUAUGGAUCAGUUCACACCAGACACACUAGAUGAUUAUAUUCUCCUAAUUGUUGGCACUAUCUUUCCCAAGUACCUAAUUAAAUAUGGUUUUCCUCUUGUC
ensembl:lincRNA